ensembl:lncRNA
UCUCUCUCUUCCUUUUCUUUCUUUUCUUCCUUCCUUCCUUUCUUUCUUUCUUUCUUUCUUUCUUUCUUUCUUUCUUUCUUUCUUUCUUUCUUUCUUUCUUUCUUUCUUUCUUUCUUUCUUUCUUUCUUUCUUUCUUUCUUUCUUUCUUUCUUUCUUUCUUUCUUUCUUUCUUUCUUUCUUCCUUCCUUUCUUUCACCCAUUUUUCUUCCUUUCUUAUCUUCCAUCUUAGAAUCAGUACUGUGUACUGGUUCCAAAACAGAAGAGUGAUAAGGGCUAGACAAUGGGGGGUUAAAUGAUUUGUCCAGUGUCACACAGAUAAGAAAUGUCUGAGGACAAAUUUGAACCCAAGUCCUCCCAUCUCUAGGCCUGGAGCUCUAUUCACUGAUCCACCUAGCUGCCCUCACAUUUUCUAUCUUACAAUAGGCUACAAUUUUCCCUCUGGUCAUUGGAGAGUGUUCCAUAGAGCUGUUCUUCUAUAUUUCACUCUUUCAUUGCUGCCAGGUACAUUUCACUUUUUACUUUUUUGGCCUCAGUAUGUCUUUAAGCCCUUGCCAGUGCUACUGACUUCUGUAAUGUAAUCUAGGGUGUACAAUAUUUAAAAUAUAAUUACUGUGAUAAUUUUGUUCUACCUUUUCUUUUUUCAAAAGUUAAAUAUGCUUUUUCAAUUUCUUUUCCUU